CACUGCGAAGCUUAUAUAGCAUUAACCUUUUAAGUUAAAGACCGAAAGUACUAAUCUUUCCACAGUGA
rnacentral:tRNA from 1 species